rnacentral:tRNA from 3 species
GGAGAGGUGGCCGAGUGGCUGAAGGCAGCUGCCUGCUAAGCAGUUGUACCUGUAAAAGGGUACCCAGGGUUCGAAUCCCUGCCUCUCCG